UUUUUUUUUUUUAACUAAUGGGUGGUAACCCUCACUGUGCACUGGAAUUACGUGGUGAAAUUUUAAGAACACAGUUGCCUGUGAUCCCACUCUGCCCUCUGAGAUUUUAUCAGAUGGAGGUGGGGCCUAAGCAUCUUCAAGAGCACCCGCAUCUGAUUCUCACGUAUAGCUGAGGUUGAAAGCCACUGCUUUAUACCUUUAACUCUGCCUUCAAUGCCCAAUAAACAGAAUGAUCAUUUAGAAAAUGUGGUUAAUGUAGAUUCACAACAGAAUACAUAAAAUUAGUCCACAUAAUUAGCACACAAAAAUACAUUUCCUAGCAACAACAACAACAACAACAAAAAGACAAAAGACAAAAAAAAAAAAAUACAUUUCCUGAGUGUAUUAAAAGUACUAAUAAUUAAUUAGUAAAGUUUAAACUUUGUUACAUAUAUAUAGUACACAUUAUAACAUACAUACAUGUUACCUGUAUAUAACAUAUAUGUAAAUAUGAUAUUAGAUUGAUGGCCUCAAAUUGCAGAUCACCUUUCUAAAUGCAAGUUUGAUAUCACUAAGAUACAAAAUCAUCAGCCAAAGCCAUAGGGUAGCAUUUAACAAAUCACUGAUAUCUGACACACAUAGGAAUUGCUGGUAUUGAGGAAGGGGGAAAAUCAAUGAUGGCUUCAGUUCUUGGGAAGGUAUUUAGCAUUAAGACGGACUGUAAGAAGGUAGGAAAGGAAAAAUAUAGUCAUGUUAAUAUGGCUUAAUAGUCAUAUCUUUUAUAUUCAGAAUAAAAAUAAAUACUUAUAGCUAACAACAUUGAUAAAUAGGAAAGACUCCAUGCCCUCUAGGAACUCGGUCUAGUGACAGAAGCAGUGGUAUAAAACAAAACAACAUAAAACUUAAAUUGCUAUGCAUUAUAUAAAAGUAACAUUUCAGAAUACAUUAAAAUUUCAAAUGUGCAUACUCUACAACCCAGAAAUUUCACUGAAAUACAGUUCUAAGUAAGGAUAUUUGUACAAGAAUGUUUAUGUGUACAUUAUUAAUGGGGAGGGGAGGGAGGAAAAGAAUAGGAAAAAGAAAAACAUAUUUCUAAUAGUAAAAAGCAGACUGAAUAAAUUAUGGAACAUUCAUCUACAGAAAGGAUGAGUAAUAUUUAUGAAAAUCAAGUUUUAACAUAAAACAUAUUUAUAUUAACAUUUAUAUUAGCACAAAGAAUUCAAAGCAAGUGCAUUGUGUAUACUCCAUUACUUUUGAAGUACAUGAAUUCUUAUUUUUUGCUUUUGACAAAAGAUUUAUGUAUUACAUUUGUAAUUUAAAUAUUUAAUAAAAUUUAAAUCAGAACACACUGUGAUAGAAAGGUAUUCUUAAUCGGGCAUGUACUAUGAAAGUAAUUAUGAUUUAUGUGGUUAUAUUCUAUUUCAUUGAUUGGGACUGCUGUGUAGACACCAACAGAAUUAUGCACCUUUUUUUAUAUCAGUAUUAGCUGAGAUACAGUAGAUAAUUAAAAUAUAAAACAUCAUUUUGCAAGGGAAUUAGAAUAUGAGAGGACAUGGAAACUAAACUGAAAAUAAUUUACUUCGUAAACUGGUGAUUUUUACCCAGGAUUGAAAUCAUACGGCUCUCACUGUUCUUUCUUCCAAAAUAUAAUGUUGCAUCUAACUUGUCCUUUUUGUCAUGCCUAAGGCCCUGAAUUUACCAUUGGUGUGAUCACAAUGACUGAUAGCAAAACAUAUGAGCCAAACACACAAAGCCAUCAGAUGUUUUACACACAUAUUCUAAUAAUCCCCCUUGUUCCAGAAUCUUUAACCCUUCCUUGGUUCUGACAGCCAGCAGUGGACCAAAGAGAUCCACCCGAGAGUAUUAAGCUGAGAAAGAAGCAGGAAGAACCUCCAUUGCUCCAUGACACAAUUAUUUAUUCUUGCAGAGGUUUUGCCCCCCAGUGAGUGCUUAAGUGCAUGUCACUUAGCAUCUCACCAGCAUUUCAAGGCAGGCUAUUUUAUUACAGAAUUUCAGUAACAAAUUAAGAGUUUAUUGUUACUUCCAUAAAACAGCUUUAAUCUGAAAAUAUAUACGUAUGUCUAACUGAAUCACUUAGCUGUACACUUGAAACUAACACAAGAUUUUAAAUCAACUAUACUUCAAAAAUUAAAAAAAAAAAGCUUUACAAUUCAUAAAAUUUCAGAAGCUGAUUAUUUAGUGUUAAAUUUCUAAAAUCAACUCUGUUAAUGUUGUAAAUACAUUUUAAUCAAUAUAAAUUAUUUCUCAUAUAUAAUCACAUAAUUUUCAUAGUAAUACGUGAACAGAGCUCUCCCCAGUUUUUAAACCUUCACAGAUUGAUUUCUGUUGUUUGCUGUUCUUCAUAUUGUUGUUUGCAUGCUUCCCACUGGCUUGAUUCUUACAAAUCAGAAGUCAGAAGUCAUGAAAUUAGAACUAGGUUACAUGAACAUGUAUUAUUACAAGACAGUGUCCAUUUUUUUCUUUACAGUAGCAAUCUCUCAAUUUUUAACAACCAAAUUGCCCUGUCUUCUGAGAAAUUCCAGCCAGUAAGCAGAAUAGAGCAUUUCCAGGGGAACAGGAAACUUGCAAAAAUAUGGGGUUGGCUUCCAAGUUGAAGCUGAUGACAAUUUCAUGAAUUUAAUUUUUGUCCUCCAAGGUCAUGAACUUACAGUAAAACUAAUGGCUAAUUUUAAAGCAACAUUGAGCCUAUAUAUGAAGUUGGGUGAAACUAUGCAAAGACAGAGGUGAGUGCUUUCUACUGAAUUAUGCUAUGUUUGCAAGAGGGGUAAAAACGCCUCUAUUUUGGAACUCCUUUCAAUGGGUUUGCACCCAUGAGGACUAAAUCAAAUAAACAAUUCUGCCCAAAUAAAAUUCACUUUAGGGUGAUGCUGUCAGAUUUCACACAGUUUUCAUUGCCAAUGGCAAGCAUUUCUCAGAGCAGACCAUAAAGUUCGCAUUUUUCAGAGUCAAAGUAUAUGAAUUUCACAUAUAGAAUAUAUUGGUUAAUUAUAUUUGAUGACAAUAAAUAUAAAAAGUUCAUAUUGCCUCUUUUAGUAAUACUGAGGAAUAGCCCAGGACUUUCCAAGUACAUUCUAAAUCACAUGACAAUAUUAUGAAAUAGCUAUAAUUCUAUCUUAAAACCAAAAAGAUUAUUAACCAAAGGGUACAAAAUUUUAGUUAUACAAAAUGAUUAAGUCCUAGAAAUCUACUAUAUAGUGCUCAUAGUUAACAAUACUGUAUUAAAUAUAUAAAAAUUUGCUAAGAGGGUAGAUAUUAUUAUUAUUCACAAAAAUAAUAAUAGGAGGAAAUAUUAUAAUGACAGACAUGUUUAUGGCAUAGAUUGUGAUAAUGGUUUCAUGGGGGUAUACUUAUCUCCAAACUCAUCAAGUUGUAUACAUUAAAUAUAAACUAUUUUGUGAAUGUUAUUCAUGUCU
rnacentral:lncRNA from 1 species